AAAAGAAAAAGAAGCAAGAAAGGACGAGGAACUUACCUUCGCAGACGACGAAUAGAAGGCAGCACGUACAAGGAAAAACAAAAGGAGACAAACUAGCCUCAGAUUGAAAACGUGAGGCUUUGAAGGAAGAAAAGACAUUCGUGAAUUAGCUGACUUGCAUUCGGUUCUUCGGUUGAGCGAGUGUUCCACCGACUUCGACUCGACCUCAGCUUUAGUCAGUCUCCAGUUCAUAAGAUUUCAGGGUGAGAUAUCCUUCUAGCUGGUGAUGGAAUCUCUUGUCAUGACAUGGUGUCCUUAGUUUUCGGACACGUUAUGUUAUUUAUUUAUUUGGUAUUUUAUAAUUUGAGAUUUAGUUUAGAAUUUAGAUGUCCUUCAUGUGAUGACUUUCAAGUUUUGGGAAAAACAUAUUUAUUUGAGCUUCCGCAUUAUUUUCACAUUUAUUAGUUGGGGUUUGUAUCGUUGGUUCUCCCACCUAGGAGGUUAAGUGUGGGUGCCACUC